CUUCAGUGCUUUCUGAUCUGCUGAGUCCGCUCCAGUCUUCAACGCGUUCUCGUCCUUGUUGCUUUGCUCGAUUUGGUUCUCAAGGGACAUUUUCUCCUCUUGGUAUCCUCCCAGCACGUCGUGCGUCACCCGCAGUUUAAUACGCUCGAUCCUGUUCUGUUUGUCCACUUGGUCGUGCUCCCUUUUGCGAGUUUUGAUGACCACCACCAACAUGACGGUCAAGGCGAUGGUGAGAGGCAGCAACAGUUGCACCUUCAUCGUCUCACCUGGCGUCUCGUGUGCGACACACUGCUCUAAACGGACGGCAUAGCACGGCUUAGUUGGCGUCCGUGUGUGCUUCCGGAUCAACACUUACAAGGAGUCCGCUUGUCCUCUUGUCCAAGUCAUGGAUUUAAACCAAAUACUCACGAUGAAGUCGUGGAAUCAGCGCUCGUUCACGGUCAACUCCAGGUGUGUCCUAAACACGCCCACGUGUCUCUACAUAGGAAGUGCACGGCUCGACACAAACAGCGAUUGUGUCGAUACAGGCGCGACAGGCGUAUACUUGUCUGACAGGAAUAUUAUGUAUAACGGACAUACCCUUUUUCCAACGACGGCAACUUACUGGAAAACGAAAGGAUGCUAACAAGUUAUAUAUAUUUCAAGAAAAACCUGCAUUUUUGCUUUGUGAUAUUGAUGAAACAAACAUAUUACACAGCAAAUUGAGGAGUGUUAAUUUUUUGGUGUUGAUGAGAAUCUUGAAGUUGGAGUGUCAAUCUUACACUAUUUGGAGUUGAUCUAACACUGCAUUUUCUUAAAAAUGUUAAAUUUAACACUGGAUCAUGAAAGUGUUGUAGUUAAAAUGGAGUGUUGAAAAUGUUUAAAUCUUGUUAGUGUCAAAAUAAAGACAUUCAACACUUCCACACUCCAUUUAACACCUAACAGUGUUCACGUGCCCACGGACAUUUCAUUUAGACUCCACCCCUCACUUCACGUUGCUGAUGGAAGAAGUUGACAAUUAGGAAUCAUUUUGCAUCAGUAGUGUUGCUGUGAGCUGAAUCGGCACUGCCUGGGCAACAUUUGUCAAAGUAAGUGAACGCUACGUUAUAUCUUCAUUUUUAAUGAGCUAAUGGCUACCUAGCUAAUUGGCACGAGGAGCCCCCACACGUAGGCCUGCUGGCCCCCAGCAAAGGACUUGAUAUGCUGUACAAGAUACAAGAUAUCAAGGUUGGCAACUCUAAUUGUUACUUUAACUUAAAAAUAAUUGUCAGGCGUGUGUUGGAAGUGAACUACACAAAUUUUUUUUUAGAAUGAUGCAUCUUUAUUUUUCUUCUUGAUUCACAGCAAACCUUUCCUUGAGACUUACAUGAAUGUGAGGUGGAUGGAGAUGUGUAGACUCCACUAUCCCUUCACCCCAGUUAUCGCCAGUUGGUGGCGAGUCUCCACUCUUGCCGACUACAUCCCAUUCAUCAGGUUCGACAAUUUAUCCUUCAGCCCACAAGAGGAACCCAACAGAACCAAUGGAUCAGGAUGAAGCAUGACGGAAAGUCGGUGGUGUUUUGAGGGCCAAUCCGAAAGGUGAGGAAAUCUUCAAGGAGUGCACCAAGACUGAAACACUAACCGAUGCAAGGUGUAAACAGAUGGUGAACAUCCUGGCUGCAGAUAUGAUGGAGCUGCAUGGGAGGGUUCCGCCAUCAUGUGUGAUGAGAAAUUACGCCCUGAGAAUUGUGACUUGUUUUCCAUACCUAAAAGAUCCAUUCUCCAAACCUGGAUAUGAUGCUUAGCUUAGCGGCAGUGGCUCAAGAGGUAGAGCAGGUCGUCCAGAAAUCGUAAGGUUGGUUGAUCUUGCUCCCUCCACCCAGUCACUGUUGUGUCCUACACUUCUCCUGGCUCUCAAAGCCGUUCCAAGACUGUUUCUUCAUGAUGGUCCAAAAACCAGAGGAGAAUAUCUGUUAACUGGUCAACAGCUGUUUGGUGAGGAGUGCAGGGAGGCACUAUCUACAAUAAGACAUUCAACUGAUGAAUCCGUGGUCAAAGAAGAUGAGAGCAACUUUCCAGUAUCGACGGAAUAUGAUCCAAGCACAAGAUGUAUCAUCGUCUGUUCUCAAUGUGUUCCCUCGCUUCCUUGAUGUUCCUGGAUUGAUUGACCAGGAUUUCUCAAUGAUGUUUGGUGAUGAAGUAUCUCAGAGGUUCCUGGCUAAGUGGUCAACUGUCUUCAAACCAAAAGUCAUUGCAGACUUCAAGACUCUCCCGCAAAAGCAGAACAUUGAUGAGUUGCUGUCAGGAACUGAACCUCAACCUGAUGACAGCUGUGGGUGAGAAGUUACGGUAUAGAGUACCAUGUUGGUGUGUUCAAAUGUACUGGAUGUAGCUUUGAUCUACCUGUGUUCAAGAAGAUCUGUGCUAUAAUAAAACACAAAGAAUGUGCUUUCAUAAUAGCCUGUAAUGUAGAAACGAUGUACUAUGAGGACCUGUUUAAGGCGUACUGCAUAGAAGACCAAAUGCUUGAGUUUUCUGUCAUGUGUUUAAAUGAACUGACUCAUUUCAAACCAUUUGACAAGCAGUGCUCUAAUGACAGUUGUCAAAGAGCAAACAUACUGUAGUGCCCUGCUGUUAUUUAAGCUACUGUCUGUUGGAAAUGAAAUGCUUUUGAAUAAAAUGUA